AGCGAACGCUGGGGGCAGGCUUAACACAUGCAAGUCGAACGCGCGUAGCAAUAGGAGAGGAGCAUACGGGUGAGUAACGCGUGGGAACGAACCUUUUGGUUCGGAACAACCCAGGGAAACUUGGGCUAAUUCCGGAUAAACCCUUACCCGGAAAGAUUUAUCGCCGAAAGAUCGGCCCGCGUCUGAUUAACUUGUUGGUGAGGUAACGGCUCACCAAGGCGACGAUCAGUAGCUGGUCUGAGAGGAUGAUCAAAGACAUUCGGACUGAGACGCGGCCCAAAAUCCUUAUGGAGGCAGCAGUGGGGAAUAUUGGACAAUGGGCGCAAGCCUGAUCCAGCCAUGCCGCGUGAGUGAUGAAGGCCCUAGGGUUGUAAAGCUCUUUUGU
rnacentral:rRNA from 1 species